UACGUAGGGUGCAAGCGUUGUCCGGAAUUAUUGGGCGUAAAGAGCUCGUAGGCGGUUAGUCACGUCGGCUGUGAAAACCUGGGGCUCAACCCCGGGCCUGCAGCCGAUACGGGCUGACUAGAAUUCGGUAGGGGAGACUGGAAUUCCUGGUGUAGCGGUGAAAUGCGCAGAUAUCAGGAGGAACACCGGUGGCGAAGGCGGGUCUCUGGGCCGAUAUUGACGCUGAGGAGCGAAAGCGUGGGGAGCAAACAGG
rnacentral:rRNA from 1 species